AGUGAACGCUGGCGGUAGGCCUAACACAUGCAAGUCGAACGGCAGCACAGUAAGAGCUUGCUCUUACGGGUGGCGAGUGGCGGACGGGUGAGGAAUACAUCGGAAUCUACUUUUUCGUGGGGGAUAACGUAGGGAAACUUACGCUAAUACCGCAUACGACCUACGGGUGAAAGCAGGGGAUCUUCGGACCUUGCGCGAGUGAAUGAGCCGAUGUCGGAUUAGUUAGUUGGCGGGGUAAAGGCCCACCAAGGCGACGAUCCGUAGCUGGUCUGAGAGGAUGAACAGCCACACUGGAACUGAGACACGGUCCAGAGUCCUACGGGAGGCACCAGUGGGGAAUAUUGGAAAAUGGGCGCAAGCCUGAUCCAGCCAUACCGCGUGGGUGAAGAAGGCCUUCGGGUUGUAGAGCCCUUUUGUUGGGAAAGAAAAGCAGCAGGUUAAUACCCCGCUGUUCUGACGGUACCCAAAGAAUAAGCACCGGCUAACUUCGUG
rnacentral:rRNA from 1 species